rnacentral:rRNA from 1 species
GACGAACGCUGGCGGCGUGCCUAAUACAUGCAAGUCGAGCGGACUUGACAGAGCUUGCUCUGUUCAAGUUAGCGGCGGACGGGUGAGUAACACGUGGGCAACCUGCCCUGCAGAUUGGGAUAACUCCGGGAAACCGGGGCUAAUACCGAAUAACAUUGAAAACCUCAUGGUUUUCUUUUAAAAGGCGGCUUCGGCUGUCACUGCAGGAUGGGCCCGCGGCGCAUUAGCUAGUUGGUGAGGUAACGGCUCACCAAGGCAACGAUGCGUAGCCGACCUGAGAGGGUGAUCGGCCACACUGGGACUGAGACACGGCCCAGACUCCUACGGGAGGCAGCAGUAGGGAAUCUUCCGCAAUGGACGAAAGUCUGACGGAGCAACGCCGCGUGAGUGAAGAAGGUCUUCGGAUCGUAAAACUCUGUUGUUAGGGAAGAACAAGUAUCGGAGUAACUGCCGGUACCUUGACGGUACCUGACCAGAAAGCCACGGCUAACUACGUGCCAGCCGCCGCGGUAACAC